AUGCUGGAUGAGGAGGACACUGACAAAGACGGGAUGAGUUUGGAGGUCGACACUCCAGUGACGAACCAUCGGGGUGACGACGACGAUGACGAAGAAGAUCUCCCCGAGAUAGUGCUGGAUGACGUGCCUGCGGUGAGGGUGGCGGGACGGCCUCCAUUCGCUCCGCGGGUAAGUUGGGUUUUUAGUCUGAGCUGCAGUGUUGCUCUAUUUCCCCUUCGUGGACAUUAAGU
rnacentral:lncRNA from 9 species